CCCGAUCUUGCAUAUCCCAAAUCUUCUCUGGGACUCCACGACUUUUCAGCUUCGUCUUCACCGGUUCUACUGUAACUCCAUUACACCGUUACCGCCAGAUCUUCUUCAUCAAUCAGCACGGUCUUUAAUCCCUUAUUUAUUGUUUCGUUACCUCCCUUUCUAUCUCCUCAUAUAUAAAUUGGUGCCAAAUCUUCAAAGCAAAUACGCAAAAUAUUCAAUACAUCAAUCUCCAAUGAAACGAUUGCAAGGCUAUUAUGUUAAUGUUAAAUGAAGCUGCUCAAUGGACAGUCUCUAAUUGACCUGACCACCCCCAUCCUCAACGAAGUGAAGAUAGCAACAACCCGGCGUGUUAUAGUUCAUCUGCAAUCACAAGAGGCUGUUAUGAAGCUGUAACUUUGGGACCAGGCUCCAACAGACUCUGCAACAAAUUCACAGCAUAUGAAAACACUCACACUGUGCUUUUAGUCACUACAGUGAACACAAAAUGUCUUGGAGGUAAUUGUUUAUCCCUCUAGCGUAACAACUUCACUGAGAAUCAUAACAUUUUAUAUUUUCCAAAUUGUUUGUACUCAGGUUGCUAAUGUGAUAUAUACUUAUUUGAUCAUCAUUGCGGAAAGUCUCUGCUUCUGUUUAUAACGUUAGCUUGGUGAAUAUUUGUUCUAUCUAUUUCAAAUUUAUAGAGCUCUAACUGGGAUAUUUUGGUUGGCCUUUUGUUCUCUUGCUAUAAAUCAUCUAGCUUUUGCAAAACCGUGUUUUUCUUCAAACAGUGUUAGUGUUGAUCAAUGCUUGAUAGGUUGUGUUUGAUUACUUAUCUCAACUUUGUAUUAUAUUGAACGCAAAUUUCCAUCUUGCCAAAAUUGAAACCGUUGAUGAAUCGGCUAUAGAUAUUUUUUUCAUACUGGAGCUUGAUCCUCUGCAAUACUUAUUAAUUAAUUCACACUCUCAUAACGUUUUAUGCGUUUAGAGAAUGAAUUAUGUAUAUGAGAGUGAAUUUGUGUACGUACCCCCAUCUUAGACGUGCAUUCAUUCUUAAGUUGAUCAUAUAUACUAUGUUGCCUCGUAACUCCAAUCUGCAUUAUUAGACACCAAAAGUUGAGAAUAUCACAAGUGUGUAAAAAGAAAUAAAUUAUUUUUAUUCUUCAAAUGGUUGUAUUGCUCAUUUUGCAAAAAUUAGAAAAAAAUACAAAAAAAUCUCACUUGCUGGAUCAUUGUGUUUGUGUAUGAAUUAGACAUUGAUAGUAGAGACUUAGGUUUAGAGGUGGCCUUGCUGUAAUAGGUUUUUUCCCCAUAUCUCUAAAUUAACAAGAGUUUGAUAUAUGCAGUAUUAGCACGUAAAUACAUGAAUCUAAAUAUAAAAGAAGUUUACUGAUCUCCACUUUGUGUGAUUUUGUAAUGACAUGCCGAAUAUAUAUUCUUGCCCUCAGCUCAAAGUCAUCCUCACGGGUUUUCAUGGACUAUGAUCUCCAACCAAUCAACGAUUAUUGCAACUGGUUGGGGUUUGUCUAGGAAUUAUGUUUGACAGUCCCAAGUGAUACUCAAAUAUAAUCUCACUCCAGUUUGUUUUGGAGUGCAUAGCCACAAUUGAUGAUGUUGUAUGACUUUGCUUAGGAUUACAUUGCCUGCAGUGACUAAGGCCACCAGAAGUCCUUCGUUGAUGUGUCCACAAUCUGGCAAUGUAGCCGGUACCCGUUGAUGCAAUGUAAGAGUUAACAGGUUCCUUGCGAAAGUUUCUGUCUACUACAACAACGACCAGGCUGUUUUCUUCCUACUUGGUGAUACAGGUCGUGAGUUGACUGGGAAGCCUGACUCAGAAUUAGUCGACAGCUACUUUUGAGCCAGAGAUUGAGCCAUUUUUCGUUUGUUUAGCGAAGAUGGUUCAGACUUAGUAGAGGAGAACACCCUAUCGCUGCAAUGGAAACAACGACGAUACGGGCUGUCACUGAAGGUGGAAACUUGGAAGCCACAUACACAAAUGGUAUCCUUUCAUUGGGUUCUAUAUAAAGUACCUAAUGAGUUUUCAUCAGCUAAUUGGAUACAGGGUGGCUAGCUCUCUAUGGCGUGCAAUUGCAUGAUGCAGAAGCCAAGCCGGUACUCCUAUGCUCCUGCUACGAAAACUGAAAAAACAUUCAGUACCUCGACUAAAUUGUUUACAGUCAUAUUUGCUUACUCAUUGCUCUUUCUUUUAUAUUUUAAUUUCUAUUGAAACGUGGCCAUAUUACUUUUAGCAUAGCACACUACUAAAUGUGGUCUUUUGUGUGUCUUUCUUUUUAUUAAGCCAUUUCUUAUGCUCAUUA